UACGUAGGUGGCAAGCGUUGUUCGGAAUUAUUGGGCGUAAAGGGCGCGUAGGCGGUUUGCUAAGUCAGUUGUGAAAGCCCGGGGCUCAACCCCGGAGGGUCGGCUGAUACUGGUGGACUAGAGUACGGAAGAGGUAGCUGGAAUUCCUGGUGUAGCGGUGGAAUGCGCAGAUAUCAGGAGGAACACCGAUGGCGGAGGCAGGUCUCUGGGCCAUUACUGACACUGAGAAGCGAAAGCAUGGGGAGCGAACAGG
rnacentral:rRNA from 1 species